CCCACUCCCUAUUUCUCCUGCACAUCUCCCCCAUUCUCUCCACGCACAAGAUCGGAGGUGCCUUCCGAUCAAACCGCCCCAGCAAGGUCGAACGGCGCUGCCCUCAUCAUCGGCAGGAUCGGGACGCCGGCCUUACUCGCGCUCCUCCGUCCCAUCCAGCUCGGUCGAGCGCCGCCACCCUCCUCCGCGCCCAGACCGCUCGAACGCCGCCGCCCUCCCAACCGGCGGGAUCGCAUCCGCCGCCCUCACCCACGGCGUCUUGCUCCGCACACGCGUUAAUGCCGCUGGCCGCACCCAGGACUGCCUCCUCGGCAACCGCGAGAACGCCGCCGCCCGCACCCGCGAGAUUGCCGCCGCCCUCCUGAAGGUAACAACCUCUUCUCCAAACCUUCGUAGUAGUGGAGCCUUCAGGUAAUUCGUGUAUUUGUUGAUCCGUUCAGCGUAUCUGAACUACUUCUAGAUCAAGGUUGGUAUUUCUAGCGUUAUAGUUCGCUGAAUUAAAUAGCAGCUUAUAAACUAGAGCUUGCCUGGAGUAAUUUUAAGUUGGCUAUUGUACUGCCGCUACCUAUGUUUUGAUGAUAAUCCGAAAGAGAUGAGUUGUUGAUGUUAUGUUUCGCGUGCACCACUGACUACAAUUAUUUUGAGUUGGCUAACUAACUGAACUGUAUCCAUGUGAAAUUGAUAAGACUCUCUGAAUUUUGAUGUGGUUGAUUUUGGUGCAAGUGUGAUUUAUUUUCUCGGUUCUUUUUUAUUAUGAUGAAUAGGAAGCGUGCCGGCGCGUUGCUGCGGGUAAGUGCUAUGCAUUACGACUGAUUGAUUUACGUUAUCAAUAUAGUAAAAUUUGAUCCUACUGAUCAGUCACCUCUAUGUCGCUUCGAGACGUCGUAAAAUCAUAUGUUGAGGAUAAGUUUUACACCCUGCUGCAGUUUGUAUCCUUUAGAUUUUAAGGAGCAACUGUAUAGGACUUACAACUCAAAUAUCCAUUGAAUUAUGGAACGAUAUAUUCGGCCCAUAAAUCAAAUCAAAUUGGGUACAUAUUAGGGAUUAUGGUACAAGACGGAUUCACAGAUUAUAUGUACUCGUGCAAUUGCGGAGCUAGAAUUGUAUAAUUUAUUAUUUCGAAGCAUAGGUAAUAUAGUUAUAUCAAACUCAUGAUCUUCCAUUUGAUCUGUUUAGGUAGCAAAUUUUUGUGGAACGAAAAUAAAUAAGCCUCCAAAAACGAUUAUACCCGACUGGAUAAAUGCUCUUUUCAUUGGAGUGAACCAGCAUACCAACAAAUCGUACCCACUUCUGAAUUUCUAUGAAAUGAUAAAACGGGCACCACACCAUAAGACCUAGCAUCACGAUGGGAUUCAGUAUUUUUUAUUGCAAACAGCAGUUCCAGCCAAGGGGUUCAGUAUUUGUAUGUAGUAUAUUAGAUAAAAAGGAAAGAAAACACGUGGAGCUAAGCUAGGACCUCACAUGUUGAUCGUUUGGCAGAAUGCAAACUGUUGAAGCUGCGAAAAAUACUCGGCCGGCAGGUUGAGGUUGGCAUGUCGCGUUGACUACAGACUACGUGUGUCUUCUUCCGUCUCGUCUUCCCUCCGUUUAGUCACCAGAAGUGAAAUUACCUUCAGUUUAGGAGGAAGAAAUAACUGACCAAGAAGUCUACCUAUGCUUGCCUAGUUGUUUUAGUCCUCGUGUCUGUCUCCGCUCUUCAAUUUCACAUAGAGAGUACAUAUAGCUGCCGGCCGGUGCGUGUUUUACUCGUUUUUCCAUUUCCAGGUCCAGUCGGGCCGGGGGACUGCCGUACCCUAUCGACAGAGCACGCACUCUGUGGAAGCUUCUACAACGGUGUGUAGGUGAAGACGAAGGACACAAAGGUAUGGGAGGAGACGUCAUUGCCAUCGCAAAUUACGAGCAGCUAGCCCAGCAGCUCACAGGUUGCUCUCCAGACCUAUGAACCCAAGGGCAAACAGGUUGCUCUCCAAACAAUAAAUUAAACAGCCGUUCUUCCGUCAGAGUUAACACGAGAGACCGAACCAGUCUCACUUUUUCAUCGGAGGCACGAUGAGACGGAAGAAGACGCUGACACAGCCCGCUACACCAGCCUUGAAUCGGUCGACCGGCAAGGACGCCGCUGCUUGUUUCCAAGCUUCACUCUAUCGAGCUGGUGAUCUCGAAGCGCUCGUCGUCGGAGAGCUCUCCUCGCCCACGACCUCAUCUCGUAAUUUGUGCCAAGAACAAGAAGAAUCGAGAAGCUGUGAAGCAUCACCAAACUAGAGGCUCUAUGUCUUAUCCAUUUCAUUUCCACAAACUUAAAAACGACAAGAACAACAAUGAGGACCCUAGUCCCAUUGAGUUUUUCAGAGAAACUCAUACCAAUAGGAUGCACGAGCGUCGCUGCCCUUGAAGCUUAUACUGAUAUGGAAACGAAAAGGAGUGAAGCAGAAAGAGAAGAUGACAAACCACUGUCUGGUACACAUAUUGUGGCGGAAGUUCUCAAAGAGCACAACUCCUCAAGCACCUUCUUUUCAACCAUGGGGUACCAAUCAAGAUCUGGGAGGUCUAGGACAUCAGCUUCUAAAGAACGCGUUCAAGAGUUAAAAGAAAACGUUGAACAACAGAAGAGAGAGGUAAUAGAUGCAAAUGUGAUGUACCACAAGAGGCUGCACUUGAAGAGAUGCAAAUAAAGCAACAAGAAGAAUUGUCGGCUAUGAAGAAGAGCCAAGAAAAAAAUAUAUGGCAAAAAGCAAGAGGAACAAGACAGCCUUAUUAGCAUCCUCUUACGGAAGCAUGCUACCCAGAACUAGACACCAUACAUGACACGGAAGCCAUUACUAGAUGGUGGUGCUAUUGUACCAUCAACUUAGUUUGCUCGUCCUUAGUUAUGUCAAUUUUAUAGUGCUUAACUUAUGUAAGACGAUAUUUGGCAGUGAGAUUAUAUUUACUUGUGAGCUAAAUAUAUAUUGUGA